GAGCCUAGUCCCGUCGCCGGCGGUGCUGCUCACGCGCCGCCACCCUUGCCGCCUUCGCCAUCGGCUCCUGCUGCUGCUAUCCCCCCCCCCCCCCCCACCCACCUCGCGGUGCCCACCAUGGGUAGCACUCCCACCGUCGCAUCGACCGCCGGCACGACAAAAAAAAAGGUACCGGCCUUGACUGUCUUCUCCCCACCUUCACCAAAUCGGGUCACCGGCCCCGCCACUAAUCCACCGUGCGUCUGUGCCUGGGCCGGCCUGCCUUGGCCCCGCAGCAUCGAACAAUGACGUCCUUCCGCUGCCAGGGGCUACCGGCGCGGCGCCGUCCUCCAUCUGUGGAUGGAAACCUCUCCGUCUCCGGCGCGAACGGCCACCACGGAUAGUACUCCCGUCGCCGCAUCGACCGCCGGCACGGCGAAAAAAGUGCCGGCCUAGACCGCCUUCUCCCCACCUUCACCAAAAACAAUAUGAUUGUUUUUCUACGUUUGUCAUGUCCCCUGGUAAUUUGGCUAAUCAUCAAUUUAUUUGACAAAAUAACAUUUUCUGAUGCUUGCUAGCCUUCUUGGGGAACAUCGUGUAAGCAUCAAUACAAUUUCAUUCAUUCUUAUUCAGUUUUAACUAAUGCUCCUGUACAAUUUCAAUAGUAGCUUGGCUUAAUGAUAUGUGAUACCAUAUCUUGAUGGUUCAUAUAAUGCGUAAUUUGAUUAAACUGUACCUUUUCCUGUAUAAAAUCUAACAUCUGUUGUAACCCAUUAUGCUUUGAUUGUGCACCAGCAUAUACUUCUUUGUUUUUUCGUUUCUCAAGCAUUUUAAUAUUCUGGAAAAUACAUCUAGGAUUUUCUUACAAGAUUCAGAAAUUUGGAAUCGAACUAGAUUCAGUUUGUUUGAACCUCAUUGUUCUAUAUCUCACUAAUCCUUGACAAACUCAUAGGAACACUAUUUACUGAAAUCGUCUUGGUGCGGGCCCAGCUGAAAUCGUUGGACAGGACCCUCCCCAUAUUGACCCCUUGCAGUCAUGCGUGCAGAUACCUCCCGGCGCGUUGCAAUCGUCUUAGUUGAAUGACCAGAGGUUCUUUCUAAAGACAAUUUCAAGCACGGUUACAAUGUUGCUACCAUCGAGUAUGAAGACUUGAUGGCUGCCAGUAUCAUUGACCCCACUAAGGUUUGUGACCCUGUAUAGGUUUCCUAUCCUUUUGCAUGAAUACCAGUUAGUUGAUCCUGCAACUUCAUCCAUCAAUACUUCUACCUUACCAUCCCACCUGGCCUGAGCCCGGCAACGCUGUUAGAGUCACCAGUCUUCCUUUCCAAUGUCAUGGUAUGCGCUGUUCUCUAUGUUAUGAUUUCAGUGUGAGAGUGUCCCGGAAUUGUUAUUGCUUUAGUCUAUUGGAUGCUAAAUUGUCAGUUCAAGAAUGUUUGCUUUACUGAACUUUUGACCUCUUCGAAAGUUUGUGAAAGUUCUACUUUGCUUCCAUGAUGUUUUGUUUUCCAGCAUCCAUAGUCUCUUCUUUCCAAACAAGCUGUGAUUGUUUUCUCAAAAGCAAAAAAAAAAAAAAGUGUCAUCCAAAUCUUUCCAUAUUUUUCUCCAAAACAGAAAUAGUAUGAUCAAUUUCCAAGCUUUCCAGAGUAAUCUAGCAAUGCACACCCCACAUCACAGAGCCAAAAUUUGCUCACCCUAUGUCCCUACUUGAAAGACCAACAUAAUAGUUUUUACCGUUGUCGAAACUGAGAUAGGAAAAUUAUGUGUUUGUUCUGUUCUUAUUCGUGUAUAAAUGAAGUAAAGGUAUACAUUGUCUUCAGAGAGAAUGACUAGAACAAUCAUUUCUCACUAUGACACCUCGAUACUGAAUGUUGUGGCUGCAGCCAAACAUCAUACUGUGAUUACUACUGAGGCCGGAGAAUUGUUUACCUGGGGAUUAAAUAGAGAAUGCUCCGAAUGAUGCAAAGGGUCAGCUUGAUUACCCUUCUGUUGAUACCCAAUCGGCACCAAGACGUGUUAGUUAAGGAUAGUUGCAGUAGCUGCUGCAAACAAGCACUCUGCUGCGGUUGCUGAAACCGGUGAAAUAUUCACCUGGGGUUGCAAUAAGGCAGGCCAGUUAAGAUAUGGCACUUCAAACUCAACACCCAAAUGUAUUCCAAGAAUGGUGGAGUACUUGAAAGGGAAACUAUUUAGAGGUGUAUCUGCAGCAAAAUACCAUACUAUAGUGUUAGCAGUUGAAGGUGAGGUGUUCACUUGGGGUCAUGGCCUUUUAUCACAGCAGGUUAACAAUAAUUUGCUUAUGUUCUACUGAUCCUUUGUUUCCUGAUUGCCUCCCAAGCCACUAGAUCAUCUCCAACAAUUUACUUUGCUAAUCUACUAUACACAUCCAUGCUUUUGUAUUUGAUUCAUCUGCCAAUACGCGGUUGCUUUUGUCAUCAAGGAUAGUAUCAACUCAGCCAGCAUCAAUCAAGAUACGGUGUAAAAUUCUGUUAAAUAUGUCUGAAUAUGUGUAAUAAUACCUCUCGAUCAAUUGCAUAAAUACAUAGGAAUAUGUAA